CAGCAGUGAGGAAUAUUGGUCAAUGGUCGCGAGACUGAACCAGCCAAGUAGCGUGCAGGACGACGGCCCUCUGGGUUGUAAACUGCUUUUAGUUGGGAAUAAAAGGAGGUACGUGUACCGCGUAUUGUAUGUACCAUCAGAAAAAGGACCGGCUAAUUCCGUGCCAGCAGCCGCGGUAAUACGGAAGGUCCAGGCGUUAUCCGGAUUUAUUGGGUUUAAAGGGAGCGUAGGCGGAUUUUUAAGUCAGUUGUGAAAGUUUGAGGCUCAACCUUAAAAUUGCAGUUGAAACUGGAAGUCUUGAGUGCACGCAGAGGUGCCGGAAUUCAUGGUGUAGCGGUGAAAUGCUUAGAUAUCAUGAAGAACUCCGAUCGCGAAGGCAAGUGCCUGGAGUGCUACUGACGCUGAGGCUCGAAAGUGCGGGUAUCAAACAGGAUUAGA
rnacentral:rRNA from 1 species